UACAGAGGUCCCAAGCGUUGUUCGGAUUCACUGGGCGUAAAGGGUGCGCAGGUGGGUUUGCAAGUUCGAUGUGAAAGCCCCGGGCUCAACCUGGGAAUGGCAAUGGAAACUGGCGGGCUAGAGUGUGGCAGAGGGGGGUGGAAUUCCGCGUGUAGCAGUGAAAUGCGUAGAGAUGCGGAGGAACACCGAUGGCGAAGGCAGCCCCCUGGGCUAGCACUGACGCUCAGGCACGAAAGCGUGGGGAGCAAACAGG
rnacentral:rRNA from 1 species